rnacentral:rRNA from 1 species
CCUACGGGUGACUGCAGUGGGGAAUAUUUGGCAAUGGGCGCAAGCCUGACCCAGCAACGCCGCGUGAAGGAAGGAGGCUUUCGGGUUGUAAACUUCUUUUGUCAGGGAAGAGUAGAAGACGGUACCUGACGAAUAAGCCACGGCUAACUACGUGCCAGCAGCCGCGGUAAUACGUAGGUGGCAAGCGUUGUUCGGAUUUACUGGGUGUAAAGGGCGUGUAGCCGGGUUGACAAGUCAGAUGUGAAAUCCUGCGGCUCAACCCCAGAACUGCAUUUGAAACUGUUUAUCUUGAGUACUGGAGAGGCAGAUGGAAUUCCUAGUGUAGCGGUGAAAUGCGUAGAUAUUAGGAGGAACACCAGUGGCGAAGGCGGUCUGCUGGACAGCAACUGACGGUGAGGCGCGAAAGCGUGGGGAGCAAACAGGAUUAGAUACCCCAGUAGUC